rnacentral:rRNA from 1 species
GAUGAACGCUGGCGGCGCGCUUAACACAUGCAAGUCGAACGGGAAACCUUUUAUUGAAGCUUCGGCAGAUUUAGCUGGUUUCUAGUGGCGGACGGGUGAGUAACGCGUGGGUAACCUGCCUUAUACAGGGGGAUAACAGUCAGAAAUGGCUGCUAAUACCGCAUAAGCGCACAGAGCUGCAUGGCUCAGUGUGAAAAACUCCGGUGGUAUAAGAUGGACCCGCGUUGGAUUAGCUGGUUGGUGGGGUAACGGCCCACCAAGGCGACGAUCCAUAGCCGGCCUGAGAGGGUGAACGGCCACAUUGGGACUGAGACACGGCCCAGACUCCUACGGGAGGCAGCAGUGGGGAAUAUUGCACAAUGGGGGAAACCCUGAUGCAGCGACGCCGCGUGAAGGAAGAAGUAUCUCGGUAUGUAAACUUCUAUCAGCAGGGAAGAUAAUGACGGUACCUGACUAAGAAGCCCCGGCUAACUACGUG